rnacentral:rRNA from 1 species
GAUAAACGCUGGCGGCGUGCAUGAGACAUGCAAGUCGAACGGACGAUCAGGGCUUGCUCUGAUCGUUAGUGGCGGACGGCUGAGUAACGCGUAGGUGACCUGCCCCGAAGUGGGGAAUAACUGCCCGAAAGGGUGGCUAAUACCGCAUGCGGAGCCGCGUUCGAUCGUGUCUCCAAAGCCGCAAGGCGCUUCGGGAGGGGCCUGCGUCCGAUUAGCUCGUUGGUGGGGUAACGGCUCACCAAGGCGACGAUCGGUAGGUGGUCUGAGAGGACGAUCA